rnacentral:rRNA from 1 species
UACAGAGGUGGCAAGCGUUGUUCGGAAUUACUGGGCGUAAAGGGCUCGUAGGCGGCCAACUAAGUCAGACGUGAAAUCCCUCGGCUUAACCGGGGAACUGCGUCUGAUACUGGAUGGCUUGAGAUUGGGAGAGGGAUGCGGAAUUCCAGGUGUAGCGGUGAAAUGCGUAGAUAUCUGGAGGAACACCGGUGGCGAAGGCGGCAUCCUGGACCAGCACUGACGCUGAGGAGCGAAAGCCAGGGGAGCAAACGGG